UAGAAAAAAUGUUUUCUGAGCUCAAAAUUUGCCAUCACAUGCGCAAGAAUGAGGCACAAAUAUUAUACUAUUGGUCAGAACUGAAUCCAUUUUAACUAGGGAAAUCUCUAGCAACAUCAA